rnacentral:rRNA from 1 species
AUGGAUGAAACUUCUUCGGGAUCGGGAACCGGUGCGUCCGGCUCUGAUCUAGAAGCGAUGAUGGAAGAGCUAGGGCUGAAAGAAGAUGAACUUGAGGACGUGGUUGUGGAAGAAGAUGAGAUGCCAGCAAAGGCUACCCGAUGGAUGAUCAUUGCUAGGGUUCAUACAGAGAAAAGCUACAGCCAAUUCUGGUUCUACAGGAACAUGAGGGUGGCGUGGGACCUAGCAAAAGAAGUUAAGAUCAAGCCGCUCGAGGAGAACCUGUACACAAUGCAAUUCGGCUGUCUGGGAGAUUGGGAA